UGAAAAGGGGAAAAAUCAGCUGUCAGUUAUCUUGUGCCUAGCUUCUGAGACUGAGAAUGACAAGCAGUCAAACAACUUGCCUGAGAAUGUACAAGAGCUAAUCAACUCUUACCAGUUUGUAAAUAUGCUGCAACAUCUAGAGAAGAGUGGGAAGAGCAAUGCAAACUUUGGCCAACAUCAUAUCAUCCACCUACUUACAAUAUUAAUGGCAUUACUGGAUUUGGUGAAGAGGACUCACAAUCAGUUUUCGACUUCAUGAAAGUGGCUGUUGACUUGGCAAAAUCUGGUGGUGGUUUGAUGGUCAAUGCUGCAGUUAUAGUGGAUCCUUCUGUUCAGCAGAUUAUUGCAACUGGACAUGAUCAAAUCUAUUCAUGGCAUAACAAGACUG
rnacentral:misc_RNA from 1 species